rnacentral:rRNA from 1 species
UACGAAGGAUGCAAGCGUUAUCCGGAAUUAUUGGGUUUAAAGGGUGCGUAGGCGGACCUAUAAGUCAGUGGUGAAAGCCCCAAGCUCAACUUGGGAACUGCCAUUGAUACUGUUGGUCUUGAGUACAGUUGAGGUAGGCGGAAUGUGUCAUGUAGCGGUGAAAUGCUUAGAUAUGACACAGAACACCGAUUGCGAAGGCAGCUUGCUAAGCUGUAACUGACGCUGAUGCACGAAAGCGUGGGGAGCAAACAGG